AGAGUUUGAUCCUGGCUCAGAACGAACGCUGGCGGCGCGCCUAAUACAUGCAAGUCGAACGAGAAUGUGUAGCAAUACACAUGUACAGUGGCGAACGGGUGAGGAUUACAUGGGUAACCUACCCUCGAGUGGGGAAUAACUAGCCGAAAGGUUAGCUAAUACCGCGUACGCUACCCGGACUGCGGUUCGGGAAGGAAAGCGAUACCGUGGGUAUCGCGCUCUUGGAUGGGCUCAUGCCCUAUCAGCUUGUUGGUGAGGUAACGGCUCACCAAGGCUUCGACGGGUAGCUGAUCUGAGAGGAUGAUCAGCCACACUGGCACUGCGACACGGGCCAGACUCCUACGGGAGGCAGCAGUAAGGAAUAUUGCGCAAUGGGCGAAAGCCUGACGCAGCGACGCCGCGUGGGGGAUGAAGGUCUUCGGAUUGUAAACCCCUUUCGGGAGGGAAGAUGGGAUGGGGUAACCCAUCCGGACGGUACCUCCAGAAGCAGCCACGGCUAACUUCGUGCCAGCAGCCGCGGUAAU
rnacentral:rRNA from 1 species